CGUGAUGGUUUCCACAACAAAGGAAGUAGCAGCGCUCAGGCUUAGAAACAGCUGCCUGCCGAGUUUGAUGAACUGUUUGCCUCCAGGCUUCAGACUGAGAGAUGUCUAUUAAUAAUAUAAUACUAUUAUAAUAACAUUUGAAUACUAAGGGGGGGUUAAUGUCAUAAAUCUUGUGUAGGCUACUGAUAAGUCAGUUUGGUGUCAAUUGAUUGGAGAACAAAUCCAAGAAGGUUGAGAUAAAAAAAGGAUUAUAUAUUACUCCCAACAAUGCCUGUGACUAGUGCCUAGGGGGAGGGAUGGUUCUCUUAAUGCUUGGUCAAGACUAGAUUGUGCUCAUCCAUGCAACAGGAGAGACUGAGCCAUCUGACACUAAUUUCCAUUCAGGAACUGCACUUCAAAGAGUUCAUCAGGAAUCUUUCUGCAAAGAAAACAGGCGUAGCCACUUCUAAGGGUUUGGUAGUUGAUGUUCUGACUCAAGAGCUGGACUUGAGGACAAAGCGGGUUAAAAUUAGCAAAAGAGCAGACAAUCAAUCAGUGAAGGCAAACUAAUCCAAAAAAACGAGCAAGCAUACAGGUAAAAAGAUCAAUUAUUUAUCAUUUAACAUUAUUUAAUUACUUCCCUACGACCAAUUCAGAGGAUUUUUAUUAAAUUAUUUAUUUCUUAUUUAAGGAUUUACAGUAUUUUCUACAUAAUGAGCUCAUUUUACUGCUGAUACUUACCUCACUGGAGUACAUGUAUUAUCUUGUAUGUUACAGAAUGUAUCACUAUAUGACAUACCGCCGGUGAGAUUCUGCCGGGGAAUACUUGGUAAGAACCACAGACUGCCAUCAUGUGCCAUUCAAAAGAUCUGUGCUACGUUUCCAUCUUGACAACUACACUGUCGUUCAAGAAUCCAGCACUUUAUUAGAGUCAAUAACAAAACACAAUGUCAGUUCAGUGAUUGAAUCUGCUUCUAUACAGCACAACAGCAUCCAUCUUGUUUGGUUCUUCCACCGACUGCUGAGUGGAGCUGGGACUUUGAAAGGUUCCUCAUCAACAUUGUCUUGACACGAAGAGUAGAGUCUCGGUCAAGAGUCCAGUAACAUACUCUGCAAAAAAUAUGUUUUAUAAUCAAGCAUUAUAUAUAAUAUAUAAUAUGUGUAUGUAUAUGUGUAUCUGUAUCUUAUAUAUCAAUAUUGCGCCUGCAUGGACUUGUGUGGUGUGACUGUGGAGAGGGGAUCCGUCUGCACAGCAAUUUCAUUCUGACAUGUCUGAAAUGUACAGAAUUGUAUUGCAUGUUUAUACAUGUCUGCGUAAAGAAAAUAUCUAAUAACAUUCAUAAUAAAAGAUGUGGUUGAAUUGAUUGAGAGAGCAAUGAUAUCAAAUUAAACAAAUAUAUGAAUUAUGUACAUGCAUGUGGUGAUUGUAUGUUUAACACAUCAUGUGCAGGUCUACUGGUACUACAACUGUAAUGUACAGACGACGUACAGUCUGUAUACUUACUGGUGUACACACAGCUUCCUCCCCAGUGUGGAUGUCCAAUAGAUGGUCGCUGAUCAUACAGGUAUCCUCAGUUCUGUCAGUGGCUUCAUUCACCAAUGUUUCAAUACCUCUGUAAUAAUAGGGUGAUAGUUAAAAGUUAAAUCGACUCACGCUUUUACUCAAACUACAGAAUAAAAUGGGGAAGCCUGUUAUAAACAUUGAAUCUAUACUUAAUUAAGCUAAAUGUGGUUUAACUUAUCAUCUAAGGAUACUUAGUCAUAUUAAAAUAAAAUAAACAUCAAUGCUGUGACAUGCUGUGAUUUUCUUCUAAAUAAAAAAUGUUAUUCAAGAAAAGAUGAUGAAGCUAAAUUAGGUC
rnacentral:lncRNA from 1 species